AUACUUACCUUGGUUGAUUGCGGGGAGAUCAGGAAAACCCUGCCAUAUGACGGAGAGCCUGCAUUGCACAUCGUGGUGCUAGCCGUCAUGAAUUGUCCUUCGGGGCCGUUCCGGCCGUAAUUUUUGCUGUC
rnacentral:snRNA from 21 species